UUGACCUCGGAUCAGGUAGGGAUACCCGCUGAACUUAAGCAUAUCAAUAAGCGGAGGAAAAGAAACCAACAGGGAUUGCCUCAGUAACGGCGAGUGAAGCGGCAAGAGCUCAAAUUUGAAAUCUGGCCCCUUCGGGGUCCGAGUUGUAAUUUGUAGAGGAUGCUUCGGGUGCGGCCCCCGUCUAAGUGCUCUGGAACGGGCCAUCGGAGAGGGUGAGAAUCCCGUCUGGGACGGGGUGUCCGCGUCCAUGUGAAGCUCCUUCGACGAGUCGAGUUGUUUGGGAAUGCAGCUCUAAAUGGGUGGUAAAUUUCAUCUAAAGCUAAAUACUGGCCGGAGACCGAUAGCGCACAAGUAGAGUGAUCGAAAGAUGAAAAGCACUUUGAAAAGAGAGUUAAACAGCACGUGAAAUUGUUGAAAGGGAAGCGCUUGCGACCAGACUCGCUUCCGGGGUUCAGCCGGCUUUCGGGCCGGUGUACUUCCCCGGGGGCGGGCCAGCGUCGGUUUGGGCGGCCGGUCAAAGGCCCCUGGAAUGUAACGCCCCUCGGGGCGCC
rnacentral:rRNA from 1 species